UUGGAGGGCAAGUCUGGUGCCAGCAGCCGCGGUAAUUCCAGCUCCAAUAGCGUAUAUUAAAGUUGUUGCAGUUAAAAAGCUCGUAGUUGAAUUUCGGGAUUGACGUGAUGGUCAUGCCUUAAGGGGUAUGAACUGUCACUGUUGAUUUCUCACCUUCUGGAGAAACUUGAUGUCCUUUAUUGGGUGUCUUGCGGAUCCAGGACCUUUACCUUGAAAAAAUUAGAGUGUUUAAAGCAGGCAUUUUUUGCUCGAAUACAUUUGCAUGGAAUAAUAGAAUAGGACGGCAUGGUUCUAUUUUGUUGGUUUCUAGGAUCACCGUAAUGAUUAAUAGGGAUAGUUGGGGGCAUUAGUAUUCAAUUGUCAGAGGUGAAAUUCUUGGAUUUAUUGAAGACUAACUACUGCGAAAGCAUUUGCCAAGGAUGUUUUCAUUAAUCAAGAACGAAAGUUAGGGGAUCGAAGACGAUCAGAUACCGUCGUAGUCCUAACCAUAAACUAUGCCGACUAGGAAUCAGACGAUGUUAAUUUUUUAAUGACUCGUUCGGCGCCUUACGGGAAAC
rnacentral:rRNA from 1 species